AUACGGAGGGGGUUAGCGUUGUUCGGAAUUACUGGGCGUAAAGCGCACGUAGGCGGACUGAUCAGUUAGAGGUGAAAUCCCAGGGCUCAACCCUGGAACUGCCUUUAAUACUGUCAGUCUAGAGAUCGAGAGAGGUGAGUGGAAUUCCAAGUGUAGAGGUGAAAUUCGUGGAUAUUUGGAGGAACACCAGUGGCGAAGGCGGCUCACUGGCUCGAUACUGACGCUGAGGUGCGAAAGCGUGGGGAGCAAACGGGAUUAGAAACCCUAGUAGUCC
rnacentral:rRNA from 1 species